GACGAACGCUGGCGGCGUGCUUAACACAUGCAAGUCGAACGGAAAGGCCCUGCUUUUGUGGUGUGCUCGAGUGGCGAACGGGUGAGUAACACGUGAGUAACCUGCCCUUGACUUUGGGAUAACUUCAGGAAACUGGGGCUAAUACCGGAUAGGAGCUCCUGCUGCAUGGUGGGGGUUGGAAAGUUUCGGCGGUUGGGGAUGGACUCGCGGCUUAUCAGCUUGUUGGUGGGGUAGUGGCUUACCAAGGCUUUGACGGGUAGCCGGCCUGAGAGGGUGACCGGCCACAUUGGGACUGAGAUACGGACCAGACUGCUACGGGAGGCAGCAGUGGGGAAUAUUGCACAAUGGGCGGAAGCCUGAUGCAGAAACGCCGCGUGCGGGAUGACGGCCUGCGGGUUGUAAACCGCUUUCGCCUGUGACGAAGCGUGAGUGACGGUAAUGGGUAAAGAAGCACCGGCUAACUACGUG
rnacentral:rRNA from 1 species